GAUAAUUAAAAUACUAGAUUUGGCUUAUUUGUUGUUCAAAAUUUAUAACAAAUUCUGCAGUAUCUCCUAUCCUUUUCUUGGUAUUUUAAAAUUUAAAUUAAUUCUAUCUCUAUGAGUCCAUCUUUCAAUAGAAUUCUACUCACUGCAAAUUACACCUUCCCAUAGCAUUAAUGACUCUUGAAGCCAAUUUCAUAUUAUCUUUUCUAUUUUUCCCAGCCAAACUCAAAAAUCAUCAUUCUCAAAUCCAAAUUAUUAUUCCCAUCAAAAUAUCACUAACCCAUCUUAUGUUUCCUUCCUUCCUUUUCCAUUCGGUUGAUUAUCAUUAUGCAAUUCCUUCUAUUUGGCUUUUCUUUCGGAGUGCAAC
rnacentral:misc_RNA from 1 species